rnacentral:rRNA from 1 species
GCUUAACACAUGCAAGUCGAACGGAACAUAUUUUUGAAGCUCCUUCGGGAGCGGAUGGGUAUGUUUAGUGGCGGACGGGUGAGUAACGCGUGAGCAACCUGCCCAUAAGUGGGGGACAACAGCCGGAAACAGCUGCUAAUACCGCAUAAGACCACGGCAUCACAUGAUGCUGUGCUCAAAGAUUUAUCGCUUAUGGAUGGGCUCGCGUCCCAUUAGCUGGUUGGUAGGGUAACGGCCUACCAAGGCGACGAUGGGUAACCGACCUGAGAGGGUGAUCGGUCACACUGGAACUGAGACACGGUCCAGACUCCUACGGGAGGCAGCAGUGGGGAAUAUUGGGCAAUGGGCGCAAGCCUGACCCAGCAACGCCGCGUGAGGGAAGAAGGUUUUCGGAUUGUAAACCUCUGUAAUCGGGGACGAAACAAAUGACGGUACCCGAUAAGCAAGCUCCGGCUAACUACGUGCCAGCCGCCGCGGUAA